rnacentral:rRNA from 1 species
CAGCCGUAAACUAUGCGCGUUAGGUGUAUCGGUGACCACGAGUUACCGAGGUGCCGAAGGGAAACCGUGAAACGUGCCGCCUGGGAAGUACGGUCGCAAGGCUGAAACUUAAAGGAAUUGGCGGGGGAGCACCACAACAGGUGGAGCCUGCGGUUUAAUUGGACUCAACGCCGGGAAGCUCACCGGAUAGGACAGCAGAAUGAUUGCCGGGCUGAAGACUCUGCAUGACUAGCUGAGAGGAGGUGCAUGGCGUAGACGUCU